CUUAUUAUUGACAGAGAGGGUCGAAGAUCGGGUACAUUGAGCCAUAAUUUGAGUGAAUCUGGUUGUGUUGGUAACACUGAAGUUCACAGUUCACAGCUGAUCAGAUGCGGCCAUGUUGAUCCACUUUCAAAACUUAGGUUAGAAAAUGUUUUCCUCUUGAUAAUUUUUAGUUUCCUCGGCUCGUGCGCUGGCUUCCUACUACAACAUCUUCGAGACAAGGAUGCCGUGAUGGCGACGCUGAGAGAAUGGACCUUGUUCCUGGUGGUGUACGGUGCGUUGUUCCUAGUCUCCUGUGGGAUCGUAUGUAUCAAGAUCUGGCUAUAUCUGAUCUGCUGUCAGUGUCUUCGUCGUCGAAGGGUGGAGGAUCGUCAGGAGAUUCGUUUUCCGCCUCCCAAACUACAGGAACGCGUUUCCUCCAAGAACAAUGUAUACUUACGAACCGUGGACGGACACCAACACAGUCAUUGAAUUACAACAUAUCACAUCUGUACAAUAUUUUUUAUAAAAAUGACCUUAUAAACUAUUUGUACUGUUA